CCUACGGGAGUCAGCAGUGGGGAAUAUUGCACAAUUGGGGAAACCCUGAUGCAGCGACGCCGCGUUAGUGCAGAAGUAUUUCGUUAUGUAAAGCUCUAUCAGCAGGGAAGAAAAUGACGGUACCUGAUUAAGAAGCCCCGGCUAACUACGUGCCAGCAGCCGCGGUAAUACGUAGGGGGCAAGCGUUAUCCGGAUUUACUGGGUGUAAAGGGAGCGUAGACGGCAGCACAAGUCUGGAGUGAAAUGCCGGGGCUUAACCCCGGAACUGCUUUGGAAACUGUGCAGCUAGAGGGCAGGAGAGGUAAGUGGAAUGCCUAGUGUAGCGGUGAAAUGCGUAGAUAUUAGGAGGAACACCAGUGGCGAAGGCGGCUUACUGGACUGUAACUGACGUUGAGGCUCGAAAGCGUGGGGAGCAAACAGGAUUAGAUACCCGAGUAGUC
rnacentral:rRNA from 1 species